AAAUCCAAAAGGGGCAAAGUAAAAGGUCACUGAAAAAAUUGAAACAGGUAAUUUUAUUAUUUCUUCAAUAGUCUGAACAACAAUUAAACAUGUUCCACGCCAAAGCAAAAAUCCUGGCUUAUACAUAUUGGCCGAUAAUUGAACUGAAUUGGAUAUGUCUAUUUUAAUUACUUUUUAAUCAAAUUAGACCAUUUAUUAAAUAGAAAAAUCUCGUUUAAUAAAGGUCCAUUAAUCCUAAACAAAAGAGAGUCUUCUUUAAUCCCACCUAAUAGUUAAUCAUUAUUUCCCUCAAUAAAGGUCAAUAAAGUCGUUACUUCCUCCAACAAGGCUGAGAGUUUGAAUCCCCAAUUCAAUAUAUAUAUAUAUAUAUAUAUAUACAUAUAAUAAUAAUAAUAAAAUAAAUAUAAAAAUUUCUCUAUCAUUUUAGCUCUCUGUAGGUUAAAUCAAUUUACUCGAUAAAGCAUAUCCAUCUUCAAAAAAAAUCCCUAUCAUUCCCUAAGGCAUGAAGCUCCUCUUACAAAAAAUGGCUUCCACUUGCUCAAUCUAAUCAGCUCCAUCAAGACCAAGAAGCAGAGCAGAAGGAGCAAUUCUCAAAGCCAAUAAAGGAAAUGUUUGCAAGUACUUUUGACACACCCAGAUUUACAGUAAGAGGGGUUGAGGUCUCGGAAGGUGCUAUCUGACUGGAAAAAAGCCUCUUGCUUAGCCUUUUCACUUGAAGCUUUGUUCAUUAUUAAAAGAAGCAGGGCCUAACCCAAGGAAUUGAGGGAGAUCUAGUGUGGGUCCAAUUGGCCAAAAUCUCUGAGAGUUGUUGAUAGAUUUCUCGCUUUGUUAUCUGAGUUUUGGCAGAGUUGUAGACCAGAGAGCUGCAAGUCUUACUUACCAUUUUUAUUUUUAUUUUCUAUUUUUUUAUUUUUUUGUUCGUGUCAAUGGAGACUUAUACAAUUUCUAUUACUCUCUUUCAACUUUCUGUAAUUUCCAUUACUCUCUUUCAACUUUCUGAAGGUUUGGCAUGGGAACUUCUGCAUUGAAUUAACAAAACUCUUUCUCUGCUGGUUUCUUGGCUC